AUUGAACGCUGGCGGCAUGCUUUACACAUGCAAGUCGGACGGGGUGGCGGGGUAACCGGCCACUCAGUGGCGAACGGGUGAGUAAUCGAUCGGAACGUAGCUUCACGUGGGGGAUAACGCCGCGAAAGCGGUGCUAAUACCGCAUGUGCUCUGCGGAGGAAAGCGGGGGACCUUUGGGCCUCGCGCGUGAGGGGCGGCCGGUCGCCGAUUAGCUAGUUGGUGGGGUAAAGGCCCACCAAGGCGACGAUCGGUAGCGGGUCUGAGAGGAUGAUCCGCCACACUGGGGACUGAGACACGGCCCAGACUCCUACGGGAGGCAGCAGUGGGGAAUCUUGCGCAAUGGCCGAAAGGCUGACGCAGCGACGCCGCGUGUGGGAGGACGCCUUUCGGGUGU
rnacentral:rRNA from 1 species